UACGAAGGGAUCUAGCGUUGUUCGGAAUCACUGGGCGUAAAGCGCACGUAGGCGGAUGUGUCAGUCAGGGGUGAAAUCCCGGAGCUCAACUUCGGAACUGCCUUUGAUACAGCACGUCUUGAGUCCGAUAGAGGUGGGUGGAAUUCCUAGUGUAGAGGUGAAAUUCGUAGAUAUUAGGAAGAACACCGGUGGCGAAGGCGGCCCACUGGAUCGGUACUGACGCUGAGGUGCGAAAGCGUGGGGAGCAAACAGG
rnacentral:rRNA from 1 species